rnacentral:lncRNA from 1 species
UAUUUAAGAGACCAACAUUUGUAUUCGUCAUUAUAUAAUCGAUAAAAAUUGUAGUAUCGCAAAAUGUUAAAACUAUUUGAUAAAUAAAUAUUAUUAUAAAAAUUCAUCAUGCGCAUGCGAAUGGAUUAUCACCUAGUAGGACUAUUGUUAUACUUGCAAAGUAUUUAUCAAAUUAGAUAAUUUACAUAUAAUUAAGGUCCAUCUGCAACGCUGGUAUGAGAAGAUAGUAUCUAUAAAAUUAUAAUGAUAAUAAGUUCAAAAAGUAUGAGAGAAGCAAACAUUUAGGAGACGAUCGUUUCUAAACAUAAGCGAACCUCUGAAGAACCCCACAAGCACUCCUGUUAUUUUUUAA